rnacentral:rRNA from 1 species
AUUGAACGCUGGCGGCGUGCUUAACACAUGCAAGUCGAUCGGUAACAGGUGUAGCAAUACAUGCUGACGAGAGGCGGACGGGUGAGUAAUGCUUGGGAAUCUGCCUAUUAGUGGGGGGACAACCCGGGGAAACUCGGGCUAAUACCGCAUACGCUCUACGGAGGAAAGCCGGGGACCGCAAGGCCUGGCGCUAAUAGAUGAGCCCAAGUCGGAUUAGCUAGUUGGUAGGGUAACGGCCUACCAAGGCGACAAUCCGUAGCUGGUCUGAGAGGACGACCAGCCACACCGGAACUGAGACACGGUCCGGACUCCUACGGGAGGCAGCAGUGGGGAAUAUUGAACAAUGGGCGAAAGCCUGAUCCAGCGACGCCGCGUGGGUGAAGAAGGCCUGCGGGUUGUAAAGCCCUUUCAGUGGGGAAGAAAAGCCUCGACCUAACACGUCGGGGUCUUGACGUAACCCAUAGAAGAAGCACCGGCUAACUCUGUGCCA